rnacentral:lncRNA from 1 species
CCUUUUUUUUCUUUCAGCUCAUUCAGUUUCUUUCUCAAUAAGGAAACACUAAUAUUCGUUUGGUUAAUUGAUGAAUGCAUUCAUUCAUAUUAUUUGUGUAUGGUGUUAUUGGCCUGCUAUUGAGAAUCUAACUUGCUGUUAAGUUUUUUGCGUUUCAUGAUGAAUGGUUUGGUAGUUUGGUUUGUUCUUGAUGGCAAUUUGACAUGAGUGAUUUCAUGUGUGUGAUGAAUAUUGAGGUAGGAAUGGUGCCAGAAACAGAAGGGAUUUUCUCUUAUCUGCUGUUAAGAUUGAUUGAUAUCAUAUUGUAAACCUUUAAUGAUCAUUUGGACCAUUUUGUCAUAUCUAUGAACACUCAUUUUGUGGGGUUAAAUGCCACACAGGGAUUUUUUUUUUUUAAUCCAACAAAAUAUUUCAUCAAUGUAAUAAACGAUCCACUAGGGAUUAUAUACAGGGUAAAUUUAAAAAAGAUCUUACAAAGAUCAAGCUCAGAUGUAAUUGAAUGGGGAAAUAACCUUUUUAAUUCUAUAAUCUGUUAUUCUCUUUCUUACCAAAAACACUAUGUCCGAUUCAAUCUGUCUAAGUGUCUCUACUCUAGAAAAUUUGUAAAUUUGUAGUAUUUAUUUUUGUAGAUUUUAUUAAGCAGCCGGUUUAGUGUAUUGUAAGAUUGAAAGUCUUUAGAUUUUUAAAAUUUAAUUUUCUUUAAUUUUUAGUUCUACAAGUAAUCUGCCAACUUAUUCAUUGCAUCUUACGUUUUUUAUAUUUUUGUUCCCACCGAAAUUGUAAGAUAAUGCAGUAUAACUCCUCUAGUAAAGUAUCAAGCAAUUGAAAACAAUUUAGAGUAUAAAUGAAAAUUAUUGUAACUACUACUUUUAUCAAAAUCUCUCUACCAUUAAGAGAAAGUAGAGCUUGUUUCCAUGGUUGGAGUUUCUCACAGACCUUGUCUUUAAUAUAGUUGAAAGUAGUUCUCUUAGACCACUGAACAAUUGAUGGUAAUCCAAAAUACUUAUUUUGAUUCCCAAUAUGCGGAACCAUAAGAAGAUUAGCAAAUUGGUUUCGGAUUUGAAGCGGUGUAUUUCUGUUGAAAAAAAAAAACAAAUAACUUGUCUAGAUUAACUACUUGGCCACUUAUACUCUGAUAAAUCUGUAAGAUAUUUAGUAAGCCUUGGCAAUGAUUGUAGUUUUGCUAAAUAAAAUUGAAUCAUCUACAAAGAAUAUAUGAAUAAUUCUAGGACAUCUAUGAUUCAAUCUCAAACCAGAAAAAUCUUGUCUCUGUUUACCUCUAUGGAGCAGAUGGAAGAGACUAUCUGCACAAAAUAGAAAUAAAUAAAUAAAAAGGGUCGCUUUGACACACCCUCCACAUGGUUUAAAAUAACCAUGUGGUUGACCAUCCACGGUAACAGAGUAAGAAACUGUUGUCACACAUUCUUUCAUCCAAUCAAGUCAUCUGUCGCAAAACCCAACUUUUUUUUAUCAUUGCCCAAACAAAAGAUCAUUUGACUCUAUCAUAAGCCUUACUCAUAUCGAGUUUUAGAGUUAGGUCACAGUCACCAUAUCUCUUAUUUUUCAGAAAAUGCAUAAACUCAUGAGCAAUAAGAGCAUUAUCACUAAUUAGCCGCCCUUUAACAAAAAUACUUUAAUUGUUAUUAAUCACUAUAUUCAUGACUGUGUUAUAUUCGGUGUACUAAGAUUUUAGAGAUAAUUUUAUAAAAAAACACUAUUAAAAUUUAUAGGUCGAAUAUACUUCAUAAAGCUAGCAUUAUCAACUUUGGAAAUAAGAUAGAUAUAAACAUGAUUAAAAGCUUUAAAAAUUUUACCUCCAAAAAACAAAUUUCAGACCAUUUUAAUCACAUCAUUUUUAAUUGUCCCCCUAAAAUAUUGAAAGAAUUUAGCUAUAAAUCUGUUAUCCAUAGAAGCUGAAAAGGAGUUGAUAAAAAAACUGCUGACUUUAUUUUUGUAUCCGAAACUGACCGAAUCAACCUUUUGUUAGUGGCUGCAUCAAUUUUCCACACAGAGAUUGUUGAGUAUAUUAUAUUAUCAGUUUGAAUGUCUUAUGUUAACAGAAUGUUCAUUUUGAAUGCCUUAUGUCAUUCUUUUUGAUAUUUUAAGAAUAAUUAAAUAUUAUAUAAAUUAGUUAUUGUUAUUAGGUUUAUAAAUAAGCAAAUCAAUUCUAAAAUUGGAUUUUUAGUAGAAAAAAAUAUGGUUUAGAAAUUAAAUUUUUAAAAAUUAGUUUUAAAAUUGUAUUUUUUGUUUAAAAAAUUUAUUUUAAAAUUGGAUUUUAAAUUUGAACUAAAAAAAAAUCAAAUUUAAAAUCGAUUUGUAUGUAAAAUCGUAUUUAAAUAUUAAAACUAACUUAAAACUGAUUUUUGUUUUUUGAAUCAGUUUAGAAACUAGUUUUUUUCUUUAAUCCGGUUUUAAUUUGAUUUCAUGAACUAUAAAACUAGUUUUAGAAUGGACGUUGUUUGGAUCUUUAAAAAUCCAAACCAUGUCUACCCCCACUGUCCCUUAUGCUCAACUUUGAUGCUAUCUUUCAAUCUACGAUGGGAUGCUUAGGCAAAUGACUCAUACUUCACAUCUUGUAUGCUUUGAAGUUGGCGAUUAUUGUUUUGAUUCGUAUUAGCGAACUAGUUGAAUUGCAGAAUCUGUUUAACAUAUUCACUUUCAUACCGAACAAGUGAACAACUAUCUGAUGUAACAAUAUCUUUUCUUUGAUUUACAGAGAUUGGAAAGAAAUAGUAGAUGAGUGGGUCAAGGCCACAGCUAUUGUAGGUAUCAAACGUUCAUCUAGCUUUGUGUGACAACCAUCAAGAUAAUCCCGAAUACCCGAUGCUUUUUUGCGUUUUGAACCUUGAUUCAUGCUUGAAUUUACUACAUGUUUAUAGGAUCAGAAGGCAUUCCAGAUUCUGUAAAUCCAUCAGUUGUUUAUGAAGAGGAAGGACUUCCAUCACCUCCUAUGGACGAAGGAGCUUUCUUGGUAGCUUCAACGGGUUCAAUUGAACUCUCACAGGUAUUUUACCUGUCCCUAAUAUUUUUUUCCUCCCUUUUUUGAACUUAGAUUUAUGUAGAAACUGAUAUUUUUCUACUUCCCUUUGUUGUAUGUCUCGUAUCUGGACGAUGUAAAGUUCUUUGAUGGCAUGAUUGAUAUCGGAAGUGAGUUGAUUUUGCAAUUUCUUAUGUUUAGACUAUCUAGCAUUCACUCUUCGGUUCUGUAUUCGAAUUCCCCAUGUCUUAAUCAGGAUUUUUUUCAGAUCCUCCACAAAAUGGGCAAAAUGAACCCACUGUGAAGCCAAGUAGACCGGUAGCCGCUGAUUCUGGUCCUGGCAGACCACCAAAAUCAAGCAUGCAGCCAAAAAGCAAUGUCGAGCCAAAGGCAGGGGAAGAAGUAGAGAAUGGUACAGUCACAAUGAAGCCUCCGGUCGACCAGCAAGCUGUAAGUAAAACAUCUCUACACAAGUUUGCAAAACUUGACAGAUUAUAGGCAUCUCUAAUAGUUUCCUGUACUUCAGAAAUCGAAGUACUUAGAGGAAGUUGCUGCGAGGAUAGAAGCCGCUAAGAAGAAUCUUCGGGAGAAGAGAGAUGGAGGAGCCGAAAAGAGGAAUGCUAGGGCAGCAAUUUUGAUAUUUUAUAACUAUCAAUUGGUCAUCAAUAUUGUUUUUAAUGGUGUGAGAUCACUCAUUUUUAUUUUGAUAGUUAAGUGUUGGCCAGAAAACACAAAAGUUGCUGCUGUUAGGAAAUUAUUUGAUUUCCUAACUUAUUUGUGGGCAAUACAUAUAUUAAUUAUAAUCACAAAUUAUGCUAUUUCAAAUUAAAUGACUUAUAUAAUGAUGAUCUCAUUUAUUUAUAUAAAUGCUAAAUUGAAUAAGUCAUUAUUACUUUUGAUUUGGAAUUAAAUGAGAAUAAAACCGGAUAUUAUCUUUUGUUCCUUAGAUAAUUAUCUUUUUGGAUUUUAGAUAUAUUAUCUUUUGGGUUUUAGAUACUAUUUUAUUUGGGCUUAAUGGUUUAAUGGGUGCCAUGCUCAAAUAUAAAUAGACUUUCAGGGUUUCGGUCCCCAAUAUGCCAAAGCCGCCUUUGUUACUCUUUCCUCAUCAAAAGAGUUGCAGUUCAGCCUCCUAGGAAUACAGAAGGCUUUGGUUGAGGAAGAUCGAAAGAACCACAAGAUCCAAACUCUUCCGAUCGUAUGAUUUAUGUUUAUGAAUUCAGGUACGCUUCCGCAUUAUGAUAUGACAUAUUUUUUAUGAUUCAAUAUGGAUGAUCUGGAUUAUUGAAAUUAAUUUAUUCCAACAAGUGGUAUCAGAGCCAUUCAUAAUUGAAUCAUUGAAAAUAUUAAAUUUUAAUCUCAUUGGAUCAAUAUAUAUUUGCGUCGUUGCUCUCCUUUUGGAUCAACUUAAUUUUAUGGAUCUGAUGAGUUUAUUAUUUAUUUUUUAUGUGCACACAUGGACUCUAGUGUUUUCUUUAUACAUUGGUUUAUUUGUUCAUUAAAGUGAUGUGUUUGUAUAUAUGAAUGCACUGCGUCCUAACACAUGAUCAAGUAAUAUAUAUAUGGAGAUAAUAAUCAUGCAGACAUAUAUACCUUUUUUUAUUUGUUUAUGGAUUCGUUUUUUUUAAAGGAAGAAAACAAUUGAUAAUAAGUUGCUAAAUAUAUGGAAUUUGGUUUUGAAUCGACUAACCUCUUUGAAUUUAAUAUGAAUUUAAGUUUUAUACGUAUAUAAUUUCGGUACGUCUAAAUGUAUAAAGUUAAAGAAUAUUAAGGAUUAAGUUUUUUUUAUUGUUAUUGUUUUGGUGUUAUACAUAUUUAUUUUAUGGAAAAUUUAAUUCCUUUUAUGAUAUAUUGUGAAUUUAAUUUUGUUUCACACUAAUAUUGACAAUUUUCGUAUUUAAAUAUGUGUAUAACUAAGGAGGUCACAAUAUUAUAUGAUUAUUUUAUAUUGUGUUUAUUGAUUUUAUGCUAUUCAAGCAUUUUAAUUUUGUUACAUAAAGUAUUUUUUUUUAUUGUUACAUAAGGAAAUUAGUAACAAUUUGGAUUAGUAUACCCAUCUAUUUUACAAAGAUUUAGUUUUAGAAUAAAUUGAUUCAACAUUAUGCUGCCAAAGUAGCCUCUUUUGUGAAAAUUGAUUUAUUCAAAACAUAAGGAAUAUGAUGUUAUGUAAUUCAUGCGAAUAUUGGUCAGCCCAAAGGAAGACCUAUAUUUGGCCGAAUUACAUACACAUAUUCAUGGUAAAUAUGGGUAACUAAUUAAGAAUAAAGUAAUGCUUAUUAUUUAUGCGGACAAUGAUCAGCCCAAAGGAAGUUUAUUGUUUGGCCAAAUAAUAAGCAUUGCACACUUUUGUUUAUUUUUUAUUAAUUAUGCAGUCAAUAAUCGGCCCAAAGGAAGGUUAUUGUUUGGCCAAUUAAUAGAAAAUAUAUGCGGUAAUAAAUAGGUUGCGAAGUUUAAGUCUCCAUGUGCGCAUUAAGUCGGUCCAAAGAAAGACUUAAUGUGUGACAGGAAUUUUGACAAUAUUUGAUUACUGCAAUGAGAGUAUCACUUACAGUUAAUUUUCUAUCCAAAGAUUGAAAAUUAAUGUUGUGCUAGAUAUCUCAAUAUGGAUCUUUUUCCCAUUAAUUAACUAAUGUUUACUGUAUGUUAUUUUUGUUCUAAUCCAGAAACUAUGGCUUUAGCUGCCAAUGUUUCAGCACAAAUUAGCAGUAUUCCUAUGCUGAAUGGUUCAAACUUUAAAGUUUGGAAAGAUACCGUGGAGAUUGUCCUCGGUUGUAUGGAUCUAGAUAUAGCUCUUCGAGAGGAGAAACCCACUUCCACUCCGGAAAACCUUAAUGAGGUUAAAAUAGAGAAGUGGGAGAGAUCCAAUCGAAUGAGCAUUAUGAUCAUGAAACGCUCAAUUUCUGAGGUGUUUCGGGGCUCAAUUACUGAGGAUAAAGAUGCCAAACAGUUCCUAAAGGAUGUUGAGAAAUUCUUUACUAAGAAAUUCAGUGCUCACAUGGCUUUAUCUUCUCAGUAUAAAAGAAAGCGUGAUACUACUGCGGAUGCGCUUUCUCAGCAGAAAAGGCUAAGAAACAGGAUCAAGUUUCAACCUGUUUCUUCUGUAAGAAGGUGGGACACAUGAAGAAGANNNNNNNNNNNNNNNNNNNNNNNNNNNNNNNNNNNNNNNNNNNNNNNNNNNNNNNNNNNNNNNNNNNNNNNNNNNNNNNNNNNNNNNNNNNNNNNNNNNNNNNNNNNNNNNNNNNNNNNNNNNNNNNNNNNNNNNNNNNNNNNNNNNNNNNNNNNNNNNNNNNNNNNNNNNNNNNNNNNNNNNNNNNNNNNNNNNNNNNNNNNNNNNNNNNNNNNNNNNNNNNNNNNNNNNNNNNNNNNNNNNNNNNNNNNNNNNNNNNNNNNNNNNNNNNNNNNNNNNNNNNNNNNNNNNNNNNCGGACCCCUAAAUUUGGCGGACUUUGAAGUCUGCAUUGAGUGCAUAAAGGGAAAAAAGGACAAACGAAAGGAAAUUAGGUGCCGAGAGAGCUAAAGAUGUCUUAGAACUGAUACAUACCGAUAUAUGUGGCCCAUUCCCUACUGUCUCUUGGAAUGGACAACGGUACUUUAUUACGUUCAUAGAUGAUUACUCUCGUUACGGGUAUCUAUAUUUAAUUCACGAAAAGUCCCAAGCCUUGGAUGUUUUCAAGUCUUUCAAAGCUGAAGUUGAACUUCAACUUGGAAAGAAAAUUAAAGCUGUCAAAUCUGAUCGUGGUGGUGAAUACUACGAAAGAUAUGAUGGUACAGGUGAGCAACGUCUCGGGCCUUUUGCUCUUUUCCUAGAGGAGUGUGGUAUUGUUCCACAAUACACCAUGCUAGGCAAACCUAGCAUGAAUGGUGUUGCAGAGCGAAGGAACCGAACUCUUAAAGACAUGGUGAGAAGUAUGAUUAGUCAUUCUUCCUUAUCUGAAUCACUCUGGGGAGAAGCCUUAAAGACCGCAGUGUACAUCCUUAAUAGGGUGCCAAGCAAAGCAGUUAACAAAACUCCAUAUAAAAUUUGGACUGGAAAAAGGCCAAGUAUAAAGCAUUUGCAUAUUUGGGAAUGUCCAGUUGAGACGCAACCUUAUAGGCCGCAUGAAAGAAAAUUGAACUCAAGGACAAUCAGUUGCUACUUUGUUGGUUACGCUGAGCGUUCACGGGGGUACAAGUUUUAUAAUCCUGCAUCAAGGUCUAUUUUUGAGACGGAAAAUGCGAGAUUUCUUGAGGAUGUUGAGUUUGGGGGGAAGGAAAUAUUAGGAAUGUUGCUUUUGAUGAGGAUUCUAUAACUGACAAUUAUCAGGACCUUGUGCCUAUUAUUGUUCAAGAUACAGUUAUAGUACAAGAGCACAAUGAGAAUCCUACUGUAAAUCCAGUUACAGUACAAGAGAACAAUGAGAAUAUUGUUGUUGCUCAAGAUACUGCUACAGUACAGGAAAAUAAUAAGAAUCCUCCUCAACCCCAACCCAUUCAGCAAGCUCAACAAUCUCAAGAAGUGUCAUUAAGGAGAUCCAAUAGAAAAAAGGAGAAAUCCAUCUAUGGUCUCAAACAAGCUUUCCGUUAAUGGUAUCACAAGUUUAAUUAAGUCAUUACCUCAUGGUUUUGAGGUAAAUAUUAUAGAUGAGUGUGUAUACCGCAAGUUCAGUGGGAGUAAAUACAUCCUUUUGGUCUUACAUGUUGAUGACAUUCUACUUGCCAGUAGCGAUAUAGGCUUGUUGCAUGAAACUAAGAAAUUUCUAUCGAACAAAUUCGAAAUGAAAGAUCUUGGUGAUGCCUCUUUUGUAUUAGGAAUCGAGAUACUAAGAUAUUACUCUCAAGGUAUUCUUGGAUUGUCACAAAAGAGCUAUAUCGAAAAGAUUUUAAGUAGAUAUGUCAUAGAAAGUUAUAGACCAAUGGACACACCCGUAGUUAAAGGAGACAAGUUUAAUCUCAAGCAAUGCCCCAAAAUGAUCUUAAGAAGACAACAAUCCAUGAUAAACCUUAUGCAUCAGCACUAGGGAAUUUAAUGUAUGCUCAAGUCUACAUGCAUCCCGAUAUAUCAUUUAUAGUGGGAGUGUUGGGUAGAUACUUGAGCAAUCCGGAUAUGGAUCACUGGAUAGCUGUUAAACGCGUAAUGCGUUGUUUAAAGAGAACAAAGAAUUACAUGCUUAUUUAUCGGAGAUCAGAAAAUUUGGAGAUCAUUAGGUACUUUGAUUCCGAUGUCAUGGCAUAUGGUUGCGAAACUUUGUCACUAAGCUUCAUAUAGUAGAUGACAUUGAAAGGCCAUUAAAGAUAUUUUGUGACAAUAAGUCAGCAGUAUUAUACUCCAAUAACAAUAAAAACUUGACAAAAUCGAAGCAUACAGACAUCAAGUUCUUAGUUGUUAAGGAGAAAGUUUAAGAAAAAACCAGAUUUUCAUAGGACAUAUAGGAACAGAGUGUAUGCUAGCAGACCCAUUACCAAGGGAUUGACCCCUAAAGUUUUUUUAUGAGCACACUGCUCGGAUGGGUGUCAAUAUUUGUGAUGCCUUGGUUUAGUGGGAGUUUUAUGCUAUAUGUCCUAUGACAGAUAAUUGAAUUAUUUUUUCUGCAGAAUUAAGUUGAUGGUUUAUUUCAUGUUAUAUGAAAUGUUCAUUUUGCAAUAUUUGUAUUGUGUUUGAUCUCAAUAAAGUUGGACCUGCUGAAAAUAGACAUGCAUGAGAUCACUUGGCAUGUAAUUUCUAUAUUACUCAUCCAAAUUUGAUCUAUGUCGUUAAGUAUAUUAGGAUGGUGAUUGUCGUGGUUUAGUCACGGCAUUUAAUGUGAUAAAAGCUGCAAUAGUUCCAUAUCUAAUGUAUGAGACAGACCAGAUUGUUAAAGUAAUGAGAGAAAUAGCAUUCAGAUGCGCGCAUAAAGUUUAUAAAGAUGUGAUUAUGUCAAUAAAUAAUAUAUGUAUAGCCCAAGUGGGAGAUUGUUAGGAAAUUAUUUGAUUUUCUAACUUAUUUGUGGGCAAUACAUAUAUUAAUUAUAAUCACAAAUUAUGCUAUUUCAAAUUAAAUGACUUAUAUAAUGAUGAUCUCUCCGAUCGUAUGAUUCAUGUUUAUGAAUUCAGGACGCUUCCGCAUUAUGAUAUGACAUAUUUUUGAUGAUUCAAUAUGGAUGAUCUGGGUUAUUGAAAUUAAUUUAUUCCAACAGCUGCUCCCUAAACUUUUACAGCCGAAAAUGGUUUGUCAUUUCUUUUCUGAAACCCGUUUCUAUAUCUUGAAUUCGGCUUAGAACGGAGACACUUGAGAUAUUCAUAGCACAGUAAACUGAUUCAAGAAAGUAUUAUAUGAUGCUUGCAGUUAAGAGGCAACGAACUAUACAACAAAUGGAAUUAGAUGAUCUCCUAAAGCAAGGAGCUGGCCAGCGAAAUCCUCAUUUCAAAGCCGGAAACCAUAACCGGCACUGGGGAUACGAGGGACGGGUGUACCCAGAGCCGGGGGUGGGGGGGCGCAAGUAGCCCCACUACCAUUUUUAAAAAGUGUUAAAAAGUAUAUAUGUAUAUUGUAUAUAGAUUUAUGCACUCAUUAUAAAAUUAUGUUUGCUUCCAUAUAAAAUAAAAAAUUAUUUUCCAUAACCGGCACUGGGGAUACGAGGGACGGGUGUACCCAGAGCCGGGGGUGGGGGGCGCAAGUGUUCUAAAUUUAUUUUAGAUAAAUUAUAAUUCCACACUGAAUAUACGUGACAAAUCAAAAAAAUUUGGCAAGUUAAUGGAAUCAAAUCAUAUUUUUAUAACAUAUAUAAGAAUGUAUAUUUCUAUUAUAUAAAAAUUAGAUUUCUGCACUUAAUGAUAUAGUUGACUUGACAUAUUUUUGAGCGUGUUUCUUAAUUUAUUUCUAUUAUAUAAAAAUUAGAUUUCUGCACUUAAUGAUAUAGUUGACGUGGCAUAUUUCUGAACAUGUUUCUUAAUUUAUUUUUUAUAACUCAUUGAAUACAAUUUAUUACAGUAAAUUAAUUAUAUCAACUAAUUGAUUUGAUUAGAUAUUUAAAUAUCACACGAUUUAUUAUAAUUAUAUCAAUCAAUUAAUUGUAAUUUAUUAUAUCAACUAUUUUAAUUCAUUAAUUAUAAUGUACAUAAUAACAUAGAUGAUUUAUUACUAAAUACAAUAAAUAUAGAUUAAUAGAUUAAUUUAGUUAAAAAAAAUCAUUGUCUCCUAUAUUUUUCUAUUUAUUUUUUUAAUUCAUUAAAUCCAAUCAAUUAUAAUAAAUUAAUUAUAUUAACUAAUUAAUUCAAUCAAUUGUUUCUUAAUUUAUUUUUUUGAAUUCAAUCAAUCAAAUAAAAUCAAUUAUACUAAUUAAUUAUUUGUACCAACUAAUUAUAUUUUUUAUUCCUUCUAUUUUUAUUUUACCACUAUAAAAGACCAUAUAUGCUAGAAGAAAAUAUUAUUUGUUUACCAAUUACUCUUUCAUUAGAUAACUUUUAUAACAAUUCUUUUUCUUCUUAUGAAGCGUCGUCGCAAGAAGGCAACUAUCAUGGACACAAACCACCACACACUCUCCAACUCCCGUGCUCAUCAUUCAGAAUAAUAUAUGAUAUAUUAUUCUUGAAGCAUUUAUAAACCAUGGUAUUAUCAUGUAUGCAUAAAUAAACAAAAUUUCGUAUUUAAAAUUAAGUCAUUUACCUGUUUGUGUGGUAUAUUGUAGUGUGAAAUUUCUUUUAAUUUGUGUUGUACAAUGAUAUUAUGGUCUAAUUUAAGCUUUUACUUUAGAACUAUGUUAUGAUUUUAUUUCAUCAUUUUCUCUUACAUAUCAAUUUGACGUAUUUUUAUUUAUUAUUAUUGAAACGGAUGUAAUAUGAAAUUUACAAAAAAAAAAAAAAUCUCACAUUCAAUUUAUUUUAUUGUAGUCUUCUAUCUUUUCUAUUUCUUUUUAUUUUCUUCCUAUUCAUUUUAUUUUCUUCUUAAAUAUCAUAUAAUUUAUUAUAAUUUAUACCAAUUAAUUCAUUAUAAUUCAUUAUAUCAGUUAGUUUAAUUCAUUAAUUUAUAAUAAAAUAGAUCAUUUGUAACUUAUAACGUUAAUUCUUCUAAAAUCUAAAUCUGAAUAAUUAUAUUUUUAUUUUUUCUUGAACAAAAUAUUAUUAAUAAUUAACCACUCAUACUUUUAAUCAAAGUAUUUGGAUGAUUUUUAUAUUUAUUAAUAUUAAUUGUUGAUUAUUUUUUCGUAAAUAAAUUGUAUUAUAAUUUUAUGUUAGUUCAUAAUUGAUUAACGAUUGAUGUUCAUGAAACUAUGUUAUUCUAAAUUUUAUAUUUUACAAAUAUUUUAUUUAGUAUAAUUUUUUAAACAUAAAAAUGUAUUAUUUUUAAUAAUAUCAUACUUUNNNNNNNNNNNNNNNNNNNNNNNNNNNNNNNNNNNNNNNNNNNNNNNNNNNNNNNNNNNNNNNNNNNNNNNNNNNNNNNNNNNNNNNNNNNNNNNNNNNNNNNNNNNNNNNNNNUUAACUAAAAUUACUAAAAUAUAAUAAUAUAAUUGUUCGGUAGUCGGGUACUGGACGGUUCGGGUAGGUAUCCUGGAUGAAGAGGGGGAGAUCUCACCUGGUCGUACGUCACCGGGUUGGGGGGAGACGAUGUCCCGAGCACUUCGCGUGAGGAGGGGGUGUCACCUGCAAGGACACUCCGACGCUCUAGUCAGUGAUGUAUGCAGGCGAAAAAAGGGUAAGUGGUAUGUAACGUACCUUUAGGGAAGGGCAGGACCUUCCCCAUAUAUACCGUGUCAGAGGUGGGCCCAUCAAGGACAGGCCCACCUUCCUUGAUACUUCUUUCACACAGCUGUAGCGUAGCUGUCAAGGACGCGUGUCCGGGUCGGCGACUGGGCAUCUCGCUCCUGACCGUUCGGGUCGGGUGGUGCUCGGGUCGGGCCGGCCCACUAGUAGUUUGGGUCAGGCCGUAAGAGUGCCCCAACGCGCCAGCAAUGAUCGUGAAGGUGGUUGGUGGCGCGUUAUCUCUUAUUCCGUGUGUUGUCGCCAGGUCGGCCGCCCGUGGAGGAGACGUGCCUCUUGCGCGCGUGUCUGUUUGUUGCUGAGGUGACCGUUUGUCGCCUCGUUCUUCGCACGGAGCAUUAAAUGCUCAUAAUGGGUUGGAAAACUCUGUGCGCAAAGACCAUUUUGCCCCUAGGCCUUUCGCGCUUCCUAAGUGGCAGUUUUAAACAGUUUUGCAUUUGUUUUCCUUUCCCACUCUUGCUUAUCAUAUUUUCUUCUUCUUCACUCCCAAAUAUCCCAAAGCCUCGUUCUAGCAUCCUUGUGCAUCUCUUUUUUCUUCCAAGUUUUCGCAACCAAUCCAUGUAAACAUUGAUCCAAUUCAGACAACGGGGCGCAGUUCACUGAUAAGAAGUUUGUAGAGUUCCUCGCCGGCUUGGGCAUCAAACAGAAAUUCUCUUCGGUAGAGCACCCCCAGACAAACGGACAAGUCAAGUCCGCAAAUAAGAUCAUCUUGCUGGGCCUCAAGAAGCGGCUAGACAACAAAAAAAGGAGUGUGGGCUGAUGAGCUCGCCUCAGUCCUCUGUUCCUACCGUACAACCGAGCAGUCCGCCACGGGAGAAACCUCCUUCUGCCUGACAUACGGGGUGGACGCAAUGAUAUCCGUAGAGAUCGACGAGCCGAGCCCACGGUUACUUCUCAAAGGGGUGGAAGAAGCUGUAGAGAAGGACUUAGUAGACGAAACCAGGGAGAAGGCACACCUGUCAGAAGUAGCACUAAAGUAAAGAAUAGCCCUACGCUACAACACCAAAGUGCUCAAGAGAGAUUUCGAGCAAAACGACCUCGUCCUACGACGCAAUGACAUUGGCCUACCGACCCAGGGAGAAGGCAAACUGGCGGCAAACUGGGAAGGACCCUACAGGGUCAAAGAAGUGAUUGGCAAAGACGCCUACAAAUUAGAGAAUUUCGAUGGAAAGGAAGUCCCAAGAACCUGGAAUGCGGGUAACCUGAGAAGGUUUUACCCCUAGCUCAAGCAUGCCGUCCAGACGAUCUAGCAAACUCGAUCACUCUGUAUUCGCCAUGGUAAUAAACUAGUUUAAUUACCGGUUAAUAUUUACUUGUCAUUCCUACCAAUUCUACUUCUAUUAUCUUUUCUUUUUCUACCCACACAUUACACGACAACAAGUUCCACGACGCGUUAAACGGAACCUCGAUACGGCACCCCGGGACUCAUCACCCCGGAAGCCAUCUAAAUUAAAGCCAUAACAAACGGCUACAACGAUAACAAGAGGCCAUGACCUGGCUUCGCCAGAGUUACCAACGAAACGGUAAACAAACAAGAACGGCAAGCCAACGCCGGUAUAACGGUAACAAAAUAAACGCUACCAAAAGUAAAGAAAGACGAUAAUCACAAGCUGACCAGGCAACUAUUAAAUUAUAACAGUUUCAAAAAUUCUACAACGAUGCCACAAAUCCAUACAAAGCUUAAGCCUAAGGUACAAGAGCUCAUUUCUUAGGCAUAUCGACGAUCUUCCCAUCUUUGAUUGUCUUGAAAACCCCGAUUUCCGACGUAUCGAAGUCCGGAGCCACGAUCUUCACCUGGGCCUUGAGGGCUUCCUCGGUCAUGAAGAUCGCGUUUUUCCCUGCUCUCUAAUCUCUUUAUGCCUCUUCUUAAGCCCUUCAACCUCGGCUUGAACAGCCUUAGCCAACGAGACGGCCUCGUCACGUUCUUUCUCCAAAGGCACCACCCGACCUUGCGCGUCAUUCAGCUGGCUCUCUAGAGUCAUCUCUCGCUCGGUUAAACGGGACACGGUCUCAUCAGAGACUUUCAUCAUCUCCUCGGCAGAUAUAGCUUUCUCCUCAGCAGGCUUGAGUUUUUCCCCCGCCUCGGACAGCUGCUCCUGAAGCAAUUCGACUUGUACUUUGAAUUUGUUGUUGGCCGUGGCAGCAGAUUCGAGCUUUCUUCGUAGUGAAUGCAUCCCCGACAACUCGAACUCGGCCUUUCGAGCUAUUACAGCUCCACGGAGAAGCGUGCGGUACAUCCACCUCGCCUGCCCCGCUAGUUCGGUGCCGAGGAAGUGAUCUUUCGUGCCGGGGAUCAGUUGGGAGUCGAUGAAAGCCCCAGCAUCGAAGUUUCUCUCCAUCACAGUAAGAGUUCCCUCAGGGCUGGAGGACGCCCUCUGCCUCUUGGGAGUGGGGAUAAGCUUCAAGUCGGGAUCCUCUUGUCGGGAGGAGGACGAAUGCCCGAUGCCGGCCGUUUCCUCGUGAAUUGGGGAAGCAUGCGCCCCGGCAAAGUUUUUGUCAAACAUCCCGGUGUCACGAGGUGAAGGCACUGACUGAUCCUUUUUCUCCACAGGAGGGUUCUCCGGUUUCUUGUCAACCUUCUCGUCGGCUUUCUCCUCAUCACUCUCCUCUAGGAAGGUCUUAUACAAACCCUCAAGCCCCGUCACCAAAGCCGACAUCUCCACUGCAACGGACAAACAAACGCAAUGAUAUCCGUAGAGAUCGACGAGCCGAGCCCACAGUUACUUCUCAAAGGGGUGGAAGAAGCUGUAGAGAAGGACUUAGUAGACGAAACCAGGGAGAAGGCCCACCUGUCAGAAGUAGUACUAAAGUAAAGAAUAGCCCUACGCUUGGGAGUGGGGAUAAGCUUCAAGUCGGGAUCCUCUUGUCAGGAGGAGGAUGAAUGCCCGAUGCCGGCCGUUUCCUCGUGAAUUGGGGAAGCAUGCGCCCCGGCAAAGUUUUUGUCAAACAUCCCGGUGUCACGAGGUGAAGGCACUGACUGAUCCUUUUUCUCCACAGGAGGGUUCUCCGGUUUCUUGUCAACCUUCUCGUCGGCUUUCUCCUCAUCACUCUCCUCUAGGAAGGUCUUAUACAAACCCUCAAGCCCCGUCACCAAAGCCGACAUCUCCACUGCAACGGACAAACAAACGUGUUAGUCGUGAAGCCGGCAAAACCAAAUAAAAGCGAUAACAAUGCAAAAAACACAAGGCAAAGCAGCUCACAAAUAUAAUUCCUGGCGACCUCCCGCUCACCCAUAAGGAGGUGGGGGUUCACAUGGUUCUUCCCGAAAACAGCCCACAACACGUCGGCAAUUCUCUUGUCCGUGGCAGACAUUCCCUUAUAAGUCACCUUAAUGAAGGUAUUAGACCCAGCCCCAAAACUCCAGUACGUUGGGAUAAGCCAUUCCCCCUACAACGACAACCAAAAGGGGUGGCGACCUUUGACUGGACGCACUUUAAAAUACUUAUCUUUGAACCCAUGAUAUGAGUCCUCGAACAAGCCAAAGAUCCUCCGACCCUGGGCAGAUCGGAAGGACAUGAACCCCUUCCUCGCUUUCCCCUCCUUGAAAGGAUUUGUAAGGUUGAAGAAAAAGAGAAAAACAUCAACAGACACCGGCAGCUCUAAAUACUUGCAUACCAUCUCGAAACAACGGAUGGAAGCCCAACUGUUCGGAUGCAGCUGUGACGGCGCAACGGAUAUCCGGUUAAGGAGCGCCAUUUGAAAAGAGGAAAACGGGAUGUGAACUCCCACCUGGGUGAACACGGCCUUAUAAAACCAGAUCCAGUCGGCAACCCGGGGGGAGUGGAAAUUAAUUUCGUAUAACUGCUCGCUGGGGGCAGGGAUGAAGACAUCGUAAUUAGCCUCCUCGUCUGUCCCUCCGCAUAGGUACUCGCUUUGUCGGAACUCCGUUAGCUCCUUCUCGGCCAUCUGGUUUGGAGAGUCCUUUAAGUCGGAGGUGGAAGCUCGUGAGACGACGCGAGGCAUACGUACAGUGGGGUUACCACUCGGUUAGUCUAACAGGCCGAGAGCUCGGAAAAACCCAGAAACUAUACUCAACCUAUCCAAAAACUAAAAUCAAGUAUGGCUAAGGCACAAUCCAAGUCAAGAAAGUGGACAUCCUGGAAUGGUAACCCCCUAACGCACCUAUUUAACACUAAAACUAUCUAACAUACGAAUCAAACAAGCAUCAAGGACAAGAAGCAAGCACAAACAACAAACGUACAGAAAAGUCAACAAUAAAGAUAAGAGAACCUUGAAGCAGAGAAGAGAAGGGAUCAAUGUUUACCUGGAUUGGUUGCGAAAACUUGGAAGAAAAAAGAGAUGCACAAGGAUGCUAGAACGAGGCUUUGGGAUAUUUGGGAGUGAAGAAGAAGAAAAUAGGAGAAGCAAGAGUGGGAAAGGAAAACAAAUGCAAAACUGUUUAAAACUGCCACUCAGGAAGCGCGAAAGGCCUAGGAGCAAAAUGGUCUUUGCGCACAGAGUUUUCCAACCCAUUAUGAGCAUUUAAUGCUCCGCACAAAGAACGAGGCGACAAACGGUCACCUUAGCAACAAACAGACACGCACGCAAGAGGCACGUCCCCUCCACGGGCGGCCGACCUGGCGACAACACACGGAAUAAGAGAUAACGCGCCACCAACCACCUUCACGAUCAUUGCUGGCGCGUUGGGGCACUGUUACGGCCUGGCCCAAACCACUAGCGGGCCGGCCCGACCCAAGCACCACCCGACCCGAACAGUCAGGAGCGAGACGCCCAGUCGCUAACCCGGACACGCGUCCCUGACAGCUAUGCUACAGCUGUGUGAAGGAAGUAUCAAGGAAGGUGGGCCUGUCCUUGAUGGGCCCACCUCUAACACGGUAUAUAUGGGGAAGGUCCUGCCCUUCCUUAAAGGUACGUUACAUACCACUUACCCUUUUUUCGCCUGCAUACAUCACUGACUAGAGCGUCGGAGUGUCCUUGCAGGUGACACCCCUCCUCCUCACGCGAAGUGCUCGGGACAUCAUCUCCCCCCAACCCAGUGACGUACGACCAGGCGAGAUCUCCCCCUCUUCAUCCAAGAUACCUACCCGAACCGUCCGGUACCCGACUACGGAACAAUAAUUCUUUUUUAUAUUAUACAUAUUAUGUAUAUACAAAAAGCUAGCUAUUAAAUCAAUCACUAUAUAUUGUAUGUGUUAUUUAAUUCAUUUUUAAUGUAUAUUUUGUAUUAUUAUAUGUAUCUUAUACAUAUAAUAUAAUUAAUGUAUAUAUAUAUAUAUAUUGUUCUUCUAUUUUUUAUUUUUUAUACCUAAUGGCUACUAGCUAUGAUUCUAUCAAUAGUAUUACCUAUGGUAGAUUAUGUGAUGAAAUAGUUUGGAAAAUAAAUGUAAGAAUUAUAAAGUUAUGGAAAGUCUCAUUCAAAUUUGACAAGAACAAGACAACUUACAUAAAAAUGGUUCUAAUGAAUGUUAAAGUUAGUUGAUUAUUUUUUAUGAUUUUUUCAAAUGAUGCUAGGUCCAAUUUAUAAAUAUUUUUUGUUCGUAUUUUAAAUUUAUUUGAUAAGUAAACCCUUGCAAUCAAAGACAUUGCCAUUUUAUAAGUGCUAAUAAUUUUUAUAUUUAAUUUGUUUUACAGUGUGAUAAAAUUUAUUGUUCAAUCAAGAAUUAUUUGGCAAAGAUGUUUAAGAAUGAACUGAUUGAGGAGAAGGUCUAUGUCUUCUCAGAUUUUAUGAUUGAGGAAUGAAGUGAAAUUUAUCUUCUGACUGCACACGUGUGUAGAAUAAAUUUUAAGGAGUCGCGUAUAAUAAAUACGGUCGAUGAUCGUAAGAUUUCUGACAAUCAUUUCAGUUUUCUUACUCAUGCUGGUAUAUUGAAACAAACAAAUAAACAAUCCAACUUAUUUAGUACAUAGUUAAUUUGUAUUAAUAUACACAAAACUGUUUUUUUUUUAUUUUUGCCAAGAAAUUAUAUAAUAGCAUUAUUUUAUCGAUAACAUAAAUUUUAAUAGUUUAUUUAUACAAAUGUUUAAAAUUGUAUUGCGACUUUUUAAAGGUAUGUCCUUUUAUUAAUAUAUUGUUAGUUUAUUAUUUAAUAUAAAAUAAAUUGGUAAAAUUUCUUUAAUUUAUAAGUAAUUUAUUAUGUUAUUCAUUUAUUUGUCCUUAAUUUGAUACUUUUAAUUCAUUUUUUCUCAAUUAGAUGUUAUUGGUCUCUUGACUAGAAAAGAAAAGCUUAUAUCAUGAUCAAAAAUAGGAAGAAGUGACCAUUACAUUGUGGUUGAUCUUCAUGAUUUGGAGUAUGUGAAAUUUUAAUAUUUCACAAUGAGAUUUUAUUUUGUAACAAUUAUCUAUACAUAUGAAAAAUAUUUUAUCUUUAUUAUAUAUUAUUACUUAUUUCUCUUAAUUUUUACUUUUAUUUAGAAAUAAGGAAAAAUAAGGUGCAUACUGUGAGAUCAAUUUACAACCUAAUUAUUCAAUUAUCUACUUGAUCACCAAACAACCGAAUCAUAUUUAUUCUCCAAUUUACAAAUUUUAACAAAGACAUUGGUAAGCAUAUUGGUUUACCUUUUAUUUAACAUAUUUGUUUAUGUUAUAUUUGUAAUCAUAUUAUAUCUAUUUUUACGAAUAUAUCUUUUUAGAAAAUACACUUAGUAUUAGUAUAUGGUGUAUUAAAUAAAUAUUAGAGGUUUUAAAUUAUGCAAAUGUUUAAAAUUGUAUUGCGACUUUUUUAAAGGUAUAUCAUUUUAAUUAUUAAUAUAUUGUUCGUUUUAUCGUUUAAUAUAAAAUAAAUUGGUAAAUUUUUUUUAAUUUAUAAGUAAUUUAUUAUGUUAUUCAUUUAUUUGUCCUUAAUUUAAUACUUUUAAUUCAUUUUUUUUCAAUUAGAUGUUAUUGGACUCUUGACUGAAAAAGAAGAGCUUAUAUCAUGAUAAAAAAUAGAAAGAAGUGAACAUUACAUUGUGGUUGAUCUUUUUGGAAUAUGUAAAAUUUUAAUAUUUCACAAUAAGAUUUUGUUUUGUAACAAUUAUCUAUACAUAUACAAAAUAUUUUAUCUUUUUUGUUAUAUAUUAAUAUUACUACUUAUUUUACUUAAUUCUUGCUUUUAUUUAGAAAUGAGAAAAAAUAAGGUGCACACUGUGAGAUCAAUUUACAACUCAAUUAUUCAAUUAUCUAUGUUAUAUUUUUUCAACUGAAUACAUACUUAUUUUUUAAUUUGCAAAAUUUAAUAAAGGUAUUAGUAAGCAUAUUGGUUCAACUUUUUAUUUAACAUAUUUAUUUAUGUUAUAUUUGUAAUCAUAUUAUAUCUAUUUUUACGAAUAUAUCUUUUUAAAAAAUACUCUUAGUAUUAACAUAUGGUAUAUAUUAAAUAAUAUUAGUGGUUUUAAAUUAUUUAUUAUUUAUUAGAGAACUUUGUGCAUUAGAAUUCUCUAAUAAUUUGUUUAUUUUAAACUGAUUUUGAUAUGUUCUUACUUCAUAGUAAAAUAACAAAUAAAAAUUUGUUGGUGAAAAGUAUUACUAGAUUAUUUAUGGUCACAUUGGGUAUAUAUGUCUGAUUUAUUGAAAAAAAUUGAUAACUAAAAUCGAUUAAUAACUAUUUUAGAGUUGAUACACUUAACACUAAAUUAAAAAAAAACAAACAAUACAUAACAUGUUACUUUUUUAUUAAUCAAAUUAUUAUAAUUAAAAUUAAUUUUAAUAAAAUAACUUAAAAUUAUAAUUUCAAUCUUAUCACGUACAUGACACAGGUUAUUAUACUUGUUUUAUAAAUAGAAGAGAGGAGAAUGUCAUUUUAGAAUCUCUAAAAAAAGAAGAGUAAAAUUUUCUCUAAUAUUUAUUAAUAAAUUGAUGGAUUUUAUACUACAUUUAUAUUUUGAUAAUUAAUCUCAUUGUUACUAUUAUUAUAUGUAAUCAAUUUAUAAAAAAGUGAAUUUAAAAUCUCGUCACUACCUAUUUAUAUACCAAUAUUAAUAACAAAUAAAUGAAAGAUUAUUUANNNNNNNNNNNNNNNNNNGAGAAAAUGACAAAAAUAAUCUUCAUUUUUUAUAAUAAAAAAAAUAUUAGAAAAUAUGAUAAAAAUAACCAAAAAUAAUAUAUUUUUAAAAAAGUUACCAAAAAUAAUAUAUUUUUUCUAAUGAAUGCGUGUAGUAUGAUUAUGAAUAUCAUAAGAAAACUGAGUGAAUCAUGGGAAAAUUACAAUAUCAUAAAUUCAUACGACUUGUUCUUUCCUUCAUCCAUCAAGAAAAAAGACAAAAUUAUAAUGUUAUCCUAUACUUUUUUUAGCUUUUUUUUAACAAACAUUGGAUGUUUUUAACUUCUAAGAUUUAUGACUUUUUUUUUUUGUUAAGAAAGAGUUGAUUGCUCAAUUGCUUAAUUCGUAAACAUUAAAAAAAAAUAAUAAACAUUAAAUAUCUUUUUAUAUUGUAUUAUUUUAUAUAACUUAAAUAUUCACCAACUUUUUUUCUAUUUUUUUGUUAUUCUUUCUAACAAAGCACCCUUUAGCCUCUAAGAACUCUUGUGGUGGAGGAAAAAUAAAAGAAGAAAUACAAUUACCCCUAUUUGCAAUGCAUACUGGUAAUUCGAUAAUAAGAAGUCUGAAAACAAAGGAAGAAUGUCUUGAUGAUGUCCUCAAUUUAGCGAGCACAUGCAACCUUAGCACCACCUGGUACUUUGUCCGUUUCGUCACAUACUUUAGAAGAAAAUUUUAAAGCUGGGCAUAUCCAGAUAAAAAAAUUAUGAAAAAAAGAUAAAUUAGUUCCUAAGUUUUUAUUUUGUAGACGAAUUUGUCUGUGAAGAUCUAAAAAUACAAAAACGUCUUUUAUUAUUCAAAACGUGUGACGAAUCGAUCCUUCCGUGUAAAAUACUUUCCCAAACGUAACGGAAACGGAUGAUGUGUCGCUUAGUUGGCGUGUGUUGGACCUAUGUGUCAAGAUGGUACCAUUGAGAAAGCUUGGUGUGGCCGUUUUGAAAAAAGUGUUGGACAAAUAGGUCCUUAUGACUUAAAAUAGCAACGUUUGAGAACAUUAGCUGUAGUCCUUGAGUUUCAAUGUAAUUCCAAAGAAGCCAUAUGAAUCACACACAAUUACCUGAUGCCCUAGCACACAUAUGUAUGAUCUUUUUCCUAAAAAAAAAACGAUUGAUCUUCUCCCCUUCGUCGUUUUCGUGGAACGUUGCACCGAUGAAGCUUCAUUGGUGGAGUUGACGGUGUCAUCUAUACUGGUAAGCAUCCUUAUUACGAAAUUGAUUGGGACUGUUACUUUCGAAUGUUAUCUGCUAUGCAUGUCUUGGAUUGGGGUUUAGGUGUAACGUAGUGUUGAGAGGGACAUGGAAGAUGGGUUGUGUGGGGUUUAUGGCUUAGGUAGUUGUUAAUUUGCUAAUGCUUAGUGCUAAUCGUUGAGUCAAACAAUGCUGCAGAUGGAUGAUAUUUUCGUGGUUCCUGUUUUUCAUCACGGGGGCUACUUUCAAAGGGCCCCGACUGGUGAGUUAGUUUACCUCGAUGGUAAGGUUGAGAGGUUCCCAUCGAUAGACUUGAAUUUUGUAAAUUUCGGUGAUUUGAUAACAUUGUUCAAAGAUCUGGGAUAUCAAUCAUACAAGGAGGCAUACUGGUAUGAUCCAAAGAGCAAGGAUAUAGAGUCAUGGCUACAUGUUCUGAGGGGAGAUGCAGGCAUCAACUAGAUGCACCAAGUAAAGAUGACAAACAAAGAUACUGAUGAGUUCUAUAUAUUUUUUUUUAUCAUCCUAUUGAUGACUUAGAGCCUGUAAAUGGUGCUGGUAAGGAAAACGAUGAGGUAGAGGAAGAUGAUGUUCGUGUCGAGGUGGAUGAAUUGGAUCAGUCGUCGACGGAACACAAUAGUUACGAGAGUGCAGAGGAUGAGCUGUAUGCACCUCCACCUCCCGGUAAUGAAGGUAACAGUGAGAGUGGGAAAGAUGUUGUCAGUGGGUCUGUGUCUGGCAAAGGGAAGAGGAAACAAGUGCCUGAUUCCUCUAAGAGAACCCCUCAACCCAGGAAGCAACCAAGAAACAAGCUCGACGUGUGUCUCAGAGAACAAGGUCUGUUGCAAGAAAGAAUAGGUCUGCCCAUGAGCCCAAGGCAGGUGGGCCUGGAGGACAGCCCAAUGGAUCUAGGUCUGUAGGGGAGCCCAAUAGAUCUAGGCCUGCAAGGGAGCUCAAUAGGGCCAAAGGACCAAGGGCAGCACUUGUAGACUAUAUCAGUGAUGUAGACACAGAUAGUGAUGAUAUUGUAUGGGAGUAUGAGUCUGAGAAGCUACAUACACCCGUUUCUUCUGAGGAUGAGGGAAACAAACAUCAUUGGCCUGAGUUCAAUGACCAAUAUAGUUUCGGAGAGAAAAAAUUUGAGCUUGCAUUGGAACAAGGUUUGCAACAAUUGAGAGGUUCAAAGAGGUUGUAAAGGAUACCUUUAUUGCUGAAGGCAGGGAGUUGGUUUGGAUCAAGAAUGACAGGGAAAGCGUUAGGGUUGGGUGCAAGGACAAAGAGUGUCCUUGGAUUGCCCACUUGUCUUACAAUCAGCAAUUACAAUGCUUCCAAGUCAAGACUUAUAGAAAUGAGCACACUUGUGCUAGGGACCUUGGAAGCAACACCGCUGAUCAACACUGGAUUAGUAAAAAGGUGGAGAAGAGGAUGGCAACACACCCGCAUAUGACAACUCAUGAAACUAUUGAUUUUUUAAGAGAAGACUUUGACCUUACUGCACACCUAAAGAUGGUGUAUAGAGCUGUGAAGGAGGCAAGGGAGAUGAUGAUGGGUAACGAAAGGGAAUAGUAUGAAAAAUUGAGGGAUUACUUAUUAGAGAUACAUAGAAGUAAUUCUGGGUCUUCUGCAUUGCUAGACCUGACUCCUCAGCCUCAAGCACCCCCUACAUUUGACAAGUUGUAUGUUUGUUUCGAAGCCUGCAAGCGGAGAUUCAAGAGUGGCUACAGACCAUUGAUCCACCUGGAUGGAGCAUUUCUUAAAACAUACCAUGGGGGACAACUACUUUUUGCUAUUGCACAAGAUGCUAACAACCAGUUCUACGUGGUUGCAUAUGCAGUUGUAAGAUCUGAAAACAAAGAAUCAUGGAAGUGGUUCCUAACACUAUUGCAAGAGGAUAUUGGUGAUGUUGGCAACCACAGUUGGAAUUUUAUGUUGGAUUAACAGAAGGUUAGUUCCCUUUUUGUCAUUCCCUGUUUGUUGUGUCAGUCAUUUAGUGAAUUAUAUAUGUUUGUAAACAUGGCUUGAUGCAUUCAUUGUUAUUAGGGACUGCUACCUGCACUGAAAGAGGUAAUGCCUAAUGCACAUAUCAGAAACUACGUCAUGCAUAUGUGAAAGAAUUUCAUAAACCGAUUCAAGGAUCUGUAUAUAAGAGAAAUAGUGUGGGACUGUGCAAGAUGCACCACCAUCUCUGAAUUCAAGACAACCAUGGAAACACUCAAAGAAGUGAACAAGGAUGCUUGGGCCUACCUUAUGAAAUUUGAACCUGCUACUUGGGUUAGAGCAUACUUUAGCCAUGGUCCUAAGGUCGACAACCUAACAAACAACAUGUGCGAGUCGUUUAACGCAAAGGUGGUGAAGUAUAGAUGCAAGCCCAUACUUACAAUGUGCGAGGAAUUACGGUGCUAUAUAAUGCGACGAAUGGUUCAACACAAGAAAUUGCUGGAGACUCAUGAAGGAAAAUUGGCGCCAGUGCAAGAGAAAAGGAUAAAGAGGCUUAUCAAACCAAGCAACAAAUGGACAGCACAGUGGAUUGGUGAUAACGAGCGCAAACAUUUCGAAGUCACUUACAAGGGAUCCAAACUUGAUGUGGAUCUGAUCAAAUACAGCUACUCGUGUAACAAAUGGCAACUCACUGGUCAGUCAAAGCUUGAAUUUCAAUUUUAACGUGCUGUGAAUCAUAGUUGCUGUGAAUUUCAAUUUUAAACAUAGUUGAUGUGAAUCUGAUUAAACAUGCUGUGAGUUUCUAUUCUAAUCAUUGUGUGAAUUUUAACCUUGGACAUGCUGUGAAUUUCAAUUUUAAACAUAGUUGGUGUGAAUCUAAUUAAACAUGCUGUGAAUUUCUAUUAUUUUUUGAUAUUUUAAUCAUGUUUAUGCCAUUAUGUUGUUGUCAAACUGCUGUCCUACCAUGAAGGGAUACCAUGCAUUCAUGCUAUAGCAGCAAUAAAAAAACAACAUGAUAACCCCGAUGAUUAUGUCCAUCCAUGGCUAUGUAUGGAGUCUAUUAAAAAGACAUACAAGCAUUUAAUCCAGCCAGUAACUAGUGAGAAAUACUGGACAAGGUCUGAGUUUACUAAGCCUGCUCCACCUGUGUUAAAAAGGCCAAUUGGACAUCCCAAGGUGCAUAACAGACAGAAAGACCUAGUUGAGGCUGUUAUUGAUGGUGACAAAUUGAAGAGGAGUUUCUAUGUCAUGUGUAGCAAGUGUGGUGAGAGGGGACACAACUACAAGACGUGCAAAGGGACCCCAUCCAACCCAAAUUCGAAGCUAAAGGUGAAAAAACCAAGGAAGAAGCCCAAGGACUCCCAAUUACUUGUGGUUCUACCAUUGUCACAGUUAGCCCCCCCAGGAAAAAGGUAAUCCUUAGUUACUCAGGGAUGUAAUUGUCCCCCCCGAUAAUAAACUUAGGGAUUUAAGUGUCUAUUAUAAUUUUAUUUAGGGUGUUUUCUGUCUAUAUUUUAACUCUUCAGGGUUUUAAAUGUCUUAUUCUAUAAAAUGCUUCAUUGGGACUGUUAACACUAAGUGUCUUGUUUCAUUUCAGACUGUGGAACAGAGUCACCCUGCUGCUACGAACCCUCCUCAUGUUGAACAAAAUUCUGCUAAUCAUUCAUUUGCUAAUGAGGUAUGGAUUUUGGUGGCAGGAAGAUAUUGUUGCUUGCUAUUUUCAUUGCAUUCACACUUGUUUCGACCUUGAUGCAGGAUAAUUCGAAUGUAAACGCUGCACCGAUGUUUGAGCAAAAAUCUGAACCCUCAGUAGCAGCGGUUGCGACACAAUCAAUGCCUCCGAAAGCACCAUUAAGGCCCCCAGCCCAGUCUUCAUCACGCUGUGCACCAAGGACAUUUAGGCCUAAGCAAACAGUUAGGAGAAAGCAUAUGGCAAACAAACCCUCUCAGCCUAUGCCACCUCCUUAGACUGAACAGCAUCUCCCCUCUCCACAACAACUAACUACAUCAGGAGCAUCUCUACAGACUUUCGCAGCAGCAAGCAAAGAACUCAACGGCUGUUUAAGUUCAUCCCCACUCCAGGAUUAAACAAGCUGAGUAGUUAAUGCUACAUGUUUAGACUUUAGUUAUGAUAUCAACAUCUUUUUUGGAAACGCUGUUAUUUUACAAAGCAACUCUUUUUGGAAACAAUGUGAUUAUGUAUAGCUUGCAGGCUUAAGUUAUGCCUUACUUUGGCAGUAGGCAUGUUUAGACUUCUUUUGUCGACAUUAACAUCUCUUUCAUGAGAUUAAUUUAUGCUUUACUUAUAUAAUCAUAUCUCUAAAUAAUUAUGCCAUUAACUUGCUUAGGGCAAUCACUUUGCUGAAUAUAACAUAAUUUAGCUUACAACACUUUUGUUCGAAAAGCAUACAAUAAAAAGAGAACUCAUCCCAUCCCAUAUUACAUUACAUCAAGGUUCUGAAAACCGAACCGGUCAUCGAACCGUUUUAGUUACUGGUUUACUGGUUUAUAGGUUCAACCGGUUUGACUAUCAGAAUCAAACCAACAAUCAGAAUAAAAAAGUUCAGAAUAAAAACAGAUCAGAAUCAAAAUCAAACAGAGGCUCAAUUACAGAUUCAAAUGCAAGGAAGGAUGACGGCGCUGGAAACGGAGAGCUGGCGACGGUGGAACAAAGCUUCGCGACGGAGGCAGGAGACGAACCCGACGACUAUGCUUCCACUGCUGAGAGUCUGAAACGUUAGCUGAGUGAGGGACUGAGUGAGCUUCGAAGCUCCAACCAGCGACGGCGUUAGGAGUAGUCCGGCGGCUGAACGAAAAGGAGGGACUGAGCUCGCCGACGUUGAGAGGAACGGUUAGCUCGAGGGUGAUGGGAAGGACGAGGGAGGGUCUGUUGCUGCGCCGUUGGAGAGAGUGUUGGAGUGAGUUAGGGUUGGUAACGGGUAAGGUUGGGGUUACUGAGUGCUAAACGACGCGUUUUGAGAGUUUUUGGGCAAAGUGAAAAAAACCGGCCGGGUCCCGGUUCGGUUCGACUGACCGGUUACCGGCCGGUUUAGCGGUUCAACAACGGUUUUCAUUUUUUUCGGUUUUAACAUAUAACCGAAUCGUAUUUCUCAUCGGUUCGCGGUUCAACCGGUUCGACCGGCCGGUUCGAACCG